rnacentral:rRNA from 1 species
GACGUAGGGCGCGAGCGUUUGUCCGGAAUUAUUGGGCGUAAAGAGCUCGUAGGCGGUCUGUCGCGUCGGCUGUGAAAACUCGGGGCUCAACCCCGAGCCUGCAGUCGAUACGGGCAGACUAGAGUGCGGUAGGGGAGAUUGGAAUUCCUGGUGUAGCGGUGGAAUGCGCAGAUAUCAGGAGGAACACCGAUGGCGAAGGCAGAUCUCUGGGCCGUAACUGACGCUGAGGAGCGAAAGCAUGGGGAGCGAACAGG